AGUGAACGCUGGCGGUAGGCCUAACACAUGCGAGUCGAACGGCAGCACAGUAAGAGCUUGCUCUUACGGGUGGCGAGUGGCGGACGGGGGAGGAAUACAUCGGAAUCUACUUUUUAGUGGGGGAUAACGUAGGGAAACUUACGCUAAUACCGCAUACGACCUACGGGUGAAAGCAGGGGAUCUUCGGACCUUGCGCGAUUGAAUGAGCCGAUGUCGGAUUAGCUAGUUGGCGGGGUAAAGGCCCACCAAGGCGACGAUCCGUAGCUGGUCUGAGAGGAUGAUCAGCCACACUGGAACUGAGACACGGUCCAGACUCCUACGGGAGGCAGCAGUGGGGAAUAUUGGACAAUGGGCGCAAGCCUGAUCCAGCCAUACCGCGUGGGUGAAGAAGGCCUUCGGGUUGUAAAGCCCUUUUGUUGGGAAAGAAAAGCAGCAGGUUAAUACCCCGCUGUUCUGACGGUACCCAAAGAAUAAGCACCGGCUAACUUCGUG
rnacentral:rRNA from 1 species